rfam:Clostridiales bacterium 43-6 SCNpilot_BF_INOC_scaffold_1368, whole genome shotgun sequence.
GGGGGCGAACCUGGUUUCGACGGGGAUCGCUGAUGUUGGAUAAGCGAGCCGAAGACCCGAGCUUCGUUAAAAGCGGGAACAGAUUAAAGUAACUGACAAAAAUACUUUAGCUGUCGCUGCUUAAGCAGUGACCGUUCGCCUGAGAAAACUUACCGUCUCAGAUACGGGCGUCAUUUAGGGUAGGGAACGAACCCGCUUAAGCUUUGCGGCGGGCCGGACUUAUGAAGCUACUAAACCCGCUAUCCUGACGGAGGGAGAGCGGCAGAGGGAAUGUUAAAUCACCGGAUACGCUCGUAGAAAGUCUGGUUGAGGGGGUUUCGGACGGGAGUUCGAUUCUCCCCGCCUCCACCA